rnacentral:rRNA from 1 species
UACGUAGGGUGCAAGCGUUGCCCGGAUUUAUUGGGCGUAAAGGGCGCGUAGGCGGCUCUGCACGUCCGUUGUGAAAUCGCCCGGCUCAACUAGGCGGGGUCAGCGGAUACGGCAGAGCUUGAGCAAGCUAGGGGGCAAUGGAAUUCCCGGUGUAGUGGUGGAAUGCGUAGAUAUCGGGAGGAACACCAGUGGCGAAGGCGGUUGCCUGGGGCUUUGCUGACGCUGAUGCGCGAAAGCGUGGGGAGCGAUCCGG